CAGCCGCCGCGGUAAUACCGGCGGCCCGAGUGGCGGUCACUAUUAUUGGGCUUAAAGCGUCCGUAGCCGGGUUGGUUAGUCUCCCGGGAAAUCUGGCCGCUUAACGGUCAGAAUUCCGGGAGAUACUGCCAGCCUAGGGACCGGGAGAGGCCGAGGGGAUUCCCGGAGUAGGGGGGAAAUCCUAUAAUCCCGGGAGGACCACCUGUGGCGAAGGCGCUCGGCUGGAACGCGUCCGACGGUGAGGGACGAAGGCCAGGGGAGCAAACCGGAUUAGAUACCCGGGUAGUCCUGGCUGUAAACGAUGCGGACUUUGUGUCGGACAAGCUAUGAGCUUGUCCGGUGCCGGAGGGAAACCGUUAAGUCCGCCGCCUGGGGAGUACGGCCGCAAGGCUGAAACUUAAAGGAAUUGGCGGG
rnacentral:rRNA from 1 species